rnacentral:rRNA from 1 species
GAUGAACGCUGGCGGCGUGCUUAACACAUGCAAGUCGAACGGAAAGGCCCAAGCUUGCUUGGGUACUCGAGUGGCGAACGGGUGAGUAACACGUGGGUGAUCUGCCCUGCACUUCGGGAUAAGCCUGGGAAACUGGGUCUAAUACCGGAUAGGACCACAUUUUGGGUGGUGUGGUGGAAAGUUUUUCGGUGGGGGAUGAGCUCGCGGCCUAUCAGCUUGUUGGUGGGGUAAUGGCCUACCAAGGCGUCGACGGGUAGCCGGCCUGAGAGGGUGUACGGCCACAUUGGGACUGAGAUACGGCCCAGACUCCUACGGGAGGCAGCAGUGGGGAAUAUUGCACAAUGGGCGCAAGCCUGAUGCAGCGACGCCGCGUGGGGGAUGACGGCCUUCGGGUUGUAAACUCCUUUCGCUAGGGACGAAGCGCAAGUGACGGUACCUGGAGAAGAAGCACCGGCUAACUACGUG